UACUAUCAACACCACCAGCAACACCAUCCACAUGGCUAUCAAUCUUCGAGACUGGCUAACGAACCUUACAGGUUGACAACUUCUUUUUCAUAUGGAUGGCUAGAUAUCGGAAGGGGGCCUGUUACUCCCCUAAACCAGUAUCACUGAAAUGUACAAAGUGUGGGGAACUCAAAUGUACAUAAUAUGGUGAGUGGAAACUCCAGCUAACAUGGUUACCAUGAUGAUUACUCUCCGUGUGGGUGUAGAACAAUCGAGAGAUUGGAAAGUCUUUCCUCCAAGUCUCAGGAAUGAAAUUCUGGAGUAGGGCAUAUAUAUGAGAUAAUUGGGAUUUGACUUGCUGAUUUGAGGAGCUUAAAGAUGACAUAGAAGAUUUUUCUUUUUAGCUUCAUUCUAUACAUAUUCUUGUUUGCUAUCCCUAAAGAAGAAGAAGAAAAAAAAGAUACAAUGUUUACCUUUGUUUUGGGUGUAUUGUAUGGUUGUGUUGUAGGGUUGAGUAGGUCUAAUAUAUUACUUGCGAUGGGACUGCAGAAACCUUACAGAACAAAGAAGGUAUAGUGACUAUAUUUGAAGAUUUUCUCCCUUUGUUCUUGCAAAAACUGUUUCAUGGAUCUUUUGGGCUCUUCUGUAUGGCUUUUAACUUUCAAGCCUAAUUGGUCUAAUUGAGCCGAGUGAAGUUGAUGAGAAACGAAAUUUCGUGUUUAUGCCUGGCUUAUUUCAGGAAUCCUUAAAGGGGCGGGGUUGUUGGGUGUGAGUUCUGGGCCUUUGUACUACAAGACAGACAACUUUUGCAAUACAAAACAGGCAUAGCAUGCCUAACAAAACAAAUUGCUUGUAGCUGCUGUGCCAUACAAUGUGCUGCCAAGGGAGAGUGACAAAAUGAAACUGACAAUAACCAGACUUUGACUAGCUUUACCACUUCUACUACCGCCAAGUAGAAAAACAAAAAUUAUACAACAAAAAUCGAUGUAUGUACAAUGC
rnacentral:misc_RNA from 1 species